AUUGAACGCUGGCGGCAUGCUUUACACAUGCAAGUCGAACGGUAACAGGCCGCAAGGUUCUGACGAGUGGCGAACGGGUGAGUAAUGCAUCGGAAUGUGCCCAGUCGUGGGGGAUAACUACUCGAAAGUGUAGCUAAUACCGCAUACGAUCUAUGGAUGAAAGCGGGGGACCGUAAGGCCUCGCGCGAUUGGAGCGGCCGUUGUCAGAUUAGGUAGUUGGUGGGGUAAAGGCUCACCAAGCAAACGAUCUGUGGCUGGUCUGAGAGGACAACCCGCCACACGGGGACUGGACCCGGGCCCAAACUCCAACGGGAGGAGGCGUUGGGAAAAUUAGGACAAUGGGCGCAGGCCGGAUCCGCAAAUGCAGCGUGCUGAAAGAAGGUCUUCGAGUGUUAAACUGCGUUGGUACGGAACGAAACGGGUCUGGGUAAAAACCGGGGCUAAUGACGGUACCGAAAGAGUAAGCACCGGCUAACUACGUG
rnacentral:rRNA from 1 species